ACAAGUACAAUUGUCACUAACCCGUCUCCCCAAAUUGCAUUGCUUCAAUCAUGCGUUGCUUAAGGAAAAAACCAGUGUUAGGCAACAGCAGUCACUUGGCAGUGUUAUCAAGAUGGCAAUAAGACUGGCUGUGCUAAAAAGCUCCGGGAUUAACUCAGGAUGCGCCUUAUCCUUCAUGCGGUUGGCCCACGUCGCAGCCCUUCCUGCGCCGAUGAAUACAAUUAUCAGUUCUCCUAUUGUAUCUCCACCUUUGGUUUUACCAGAUAUCUUGGAAGGAAAAAACAGCAGCGGUUUCGGAUUCCCAAGUUUCUCAUUUGGCGGAUCCAUGGAACUUAUGGCUGUCCCCAAAAAGAAGGUUUCUCCCCACAAGAAAGGCAUAAGAAAUGGGCCAAAAGCUUUGAAGCCUGUUCCAGUGAUUAUUCGGUGCAGAAAGAGAUAGAUUUUUCUGUAGUUUAAGGGGUGAUACAAAGAACUCAUUAGUAUCACAUCUUCAAGGCUUUCAGUGAGCUGUGGUCGAGUGAAGUUGCCACACUUCUUUUGUUGCAGUGGAGAGAGGCGGAAGGAAGAGUGAUGGAUUAAACAACUAUGCUAGCUGCUUCUUUGCAAUGAAAGUCCAAACAUGGUUUUGAAAUAGGAAUCAACCAUGUUAUUUUUGGAAUUAUCUAUCUAAACUUUGCCAGAUUCUAAUAGUAGAAAUACCGAUUGCAUGGUGCAUUUCCUUUUUCAUUCUAUCUUAAUGAUUUCUUCAUUUAAAUGAGGUUCUCAGCACCCACAUUGUAUAAAUUAGCUUGGUGGAUAGGAUUAUUAUUAUUUUUUUUUGUUUUUUAUAACAAUGUAAUUCUGCUAUGGAUUCUUUACUCUGGGUGGUGAUGAUUAUUGCAGAGAUGGCAUUGAAGCCUUUGAAUGACAAAUUUACUGUGAAGGAGAGAUCAUUUUUUAAUUUAUUUGCUUGGAAAUCAUUGAGAGUCCUUGAAACUUGGAUAUUUACCAUUCAUAUAUUAGAUACUUUGGUUGUUUUGUAUUGAUUUUCUCAUUAACAGGUUGUAUUUGGUUGA